rnacentral:rRNA from 1 species
UACGUAGGGUGCAAGCGUUAAUCGGAAUUAUUGGGCGUAAAGCGCGCGCAGGUGGUUCCUUAAGUCUGAUGUGAAAGCCCCCGGCUCAACCGGGGAGGGUCAUUGGAAACUGGGGAACUUGAGUGCAUAAGAGGAUAGUGGAAUUCCAAGUGAAGCGGUGAAAUGCGUAGAGAUUUGGAGGAACACCAGUGGCGAAGGCGACUGUCUGGUCUGUAACUGACACUGAGGCGCGAAAGCGUGGGGAGCAAACAGG